rnacentral:ncRNA from 1 species
ACAGGUGCCUAUAUGCGAGAGCAUAGGCCUAACAAGAGAAGCUGGUACAAGCCAGCACGGUCCCGCCACUGUAACAGGGAGCGAAACCACAUUUAUGUCACUGGAGUAAUCUGGGAAGGCGUGGUAGAGCGUAGAUCUGGAGUCAGGAGAACUGCCUGUUUAG